UUGGAGGGCAAGUCUGGUGCCAGCAGCCGCGGUAAUUCCAGCUCCAAUAGCGUAUAUUAAAGUUGUUGCAGUUAAAAAGCUCGUAGUUGAAUUUCGGGAUCAGUUGGUCGGUCGUGCCUCGGUACGUACUGGUCAAAUUGAUUCCUACCUUCUGACGAACCACGAUGUCAUUAAUUUGGUGUCGCGGGAAAUCAGGACUGUUACUUUGAAAAAAUUAGAGUGUUUAAAGCAGGCUCGCGCUUGAAUACAUUAGCAUGGAAUAAUGAAAUAGGACGUUUGAUUCUAUUUUGUUGGUUUCUAGGAUCGACGUAAUGAUUAAUAGGGAUAGUUGGGGGCAUUAGUAUUCAAUUGUCAGAGGUGAAAUUCUUGGAUUUAUUGAAGACUAACUACUGCGAAAGCAUUUGCCAAGGAUGUUUUCAUUAAUCAAGAACGAAAGUUAGGGGAUCGAAGACGAUCAGAUACCGUCGUAGUCUUAACCAUAAACUAUGCCGACUAGGGAUCGGAUGAUGUUAAUUUUUUAAUGACUCAUUCGGCGCCUUACGGGAAAC
rnacentral:rRNA from 2 species